AUUUCUAUAAACCACCGAAAAGCAUGUAAUAAAUCAAUUUCAUCGUCAUCAUGUGUUGCAAUACCACUACCAGGGACAUCAAAGAUGACCUGGACUUCAGUGCAUAUGCAGAGGAGAGUAGCACUAAAGAAAGCCAAUAAAAUCCUUUUGGAGUUGAAUUGAGACACAACCAUUCAUUUCUGGUUUAGUUAUAAAACUGCUACAGACUAUAAACUUUUCAUGAUGAUGGAAUACACCAAUGCCUAGUACAAUCAUGGCCCAUUAGAAACCAGAACAAACCUUGGCUGCAAAGGAAAUAAGAUGCACAUAGUCUGAAAGAUCUGGCUGGCGUUCUGAAUAAGAUGACAUAAUAUCUCAACUGCAGAAGUACAGAUGGCAUGUAGGGGUUUCAACAGCACAUCUUGAUGUAUUGUACCAAAAGAUUUGCUUACACACCACCUGUUUAUAGGAUGCACAAUCUUCUUGCAGCCAUAGAUUAUAAUAUACAUGCAAAUAGACCAUACAUCACCAACAAGGGGGAUCUGUUAGACUUCAGCGAGUCUGGAGGAAUUAAAGAAGAAGAAAAAAAGUAUCAUUAUACCAUUUUUCAUGAUGCUAUAACUCUGAGAAAUUAGUGACAUGGAGGGGAUAUAUAAAAUAGAAAGUUAGAGGAAGAUGACCCCCACAUACUUUCAAAAUAUUUGGCCCAAGUUAGCCCGAAGCCUACCCGAGCCAUUCAUGAGGAACAUAAAUCAAGAUAUGAUUGACUUUUUAUGGAAAAGAAUGAUAAAUAGUGUGUUACACUGAUUGCCCAACUAUUCAAAACAUAUUUAAGCUGACAUUGAACACCUGGUAUUCAUGAUAGUUUUAUGAAAUAUCUUUUUUAGAUAUGGCACUGUAUCUAUCUUUUGUCAUGACUCAAGGUCUGUUUUUAAUAUUUUGUCAGAAAAAUGACUACUUUUUAUACAAGUGCAAAAUAUUAUCCAAUCUAUUAAACUAUAAGUGCUGCUAUGAGCUUUAAUGUAGUAACGAAGUUAAAAGUAUUAUUCAAUUAUAUCUUUUGAUAUACAUGUACUAUGUAAUUCACUUUAGCUCAGCUUUUCUUUUUUUUUUGAAAAAAGAAAUAGAGGUUGCUGCCGUUGCCUUCUGCAAACUUGAACCUUGUUCAUAACUUUAAAGUUCUUGGUGUAUUGUCUAACCUUGGCCUUCAUUCAUAAUUGACCUUGACCUUCAAGGUUAAAUGUCUAAAUUUUGGCUUUGCUUGUUAUUUGCUAUUAGUGGCUUAAACUUUAUUGCCCUUUGUUAAUUUUCAUAUUUCAUUUUUGUCUUGGCCAUUUCUCCUAAACUAUAUUGUUCACAAGGCAACACAUCCGACUCGCGGAGAUCUAGUUGUUAUUAGUCCAUGAAUUGUUUGUAGUCCAAUCUAGUUUAUUAAGCCAAUGACAUAGGGGCAUUUUAUAUAUAAUCCUUGUUCAAUCAAACAAGGCAAGCCUUAAAAUUAUCUUUGUAUUUACUCCCUCAUCCCAUUCCAGUUCAGAUAGGUUAGGUGGGCUGAUAAAAUAUUUAUUUUUGUGCCCCCACUUUAGUGACGGGCAUUUAGAUUUACCCUUGUCCGUCCGUCCGUAUUUCACCUAGAGUCAUGAAACUUUACUGUAAUGUUGAUCAGCAAGUGUAAUUGUUCACCUUGGUAUUUUCAUCUGGAUAUUUUUAGUAUUUUCAGAGUUACUGUCAUUGAAUUUUUGCAAUUUUCAACUUGUGUCGCAUGUUACUCAAGAAGUAUUUGACCUAGAGCAAUGAAACUUUACAGGAAUGUUGAACAUUAUGUGUAGUUGUGCACCUGGGUAUUUUCGUCUGGAUUUAGUAUUUUGAGACUUAUGGCCCUUGACUUAGUAAAAUUUUGCAAUUUUCAACUUGUGUCGCAUGUAACUAAAAAAGUAUUUGACUUAGAGUAAUGAAACUUUACAAGAAUGUUGAUCAGCAUGUGAAGUUGCGCAUCUGGGUAUUUUCGUCUGGAAUUAUUUAGGAUUUUUAGAGUUAUUGCCCUUGACUUGGUAAAAUUUUGCAGUUUUCAACUUGUGUCACAUGUAACUCAAAAAGGAUUUGACAUUGAGUCAUUAAACCUUACGGGAAGGUUGCUCAGCAUAUUUAGUUUUGCACCUGGGGUUUGGCUUGUGGAUUUAUCCAGUAUUUGUAGAGUUA